AGGCAUGAAAGACGCACAUUCUUACGAGGCAGCGAGCAAGAUCAGGCUCUGCAACACAGACCGCUCAGCCGAUGUUUCAAGCAGUAAUCACCGCGUCUAUGCUAAGCACUGGGUUCAACUCUGGAUCUACCAAGACAAACAGAUCAAGUAACUGAACUCCUGAAACCGACGACUGGAAGAAAAUACAGAAGGUGUGGUUAUGAGAACAGUCUCUGCUCUGGCGCUCCCUGGAUUUCUGUCUCUCCCGGCCGUGCCAGCUCUGCGUGGCCGUCACCACCACUCCACACUCGUCUUGAACCCCUUUCCUGCUUCUGGACCAAUUUUUACUUCCAAGAAGAAGUCUCGCUGUGGGUACUGAGUCUGUGCCAGCAAAUUCCUAAGGAAAGUUUGCUUCUCUUCAGUGAGGCUCUCGAAGUGCCCGCCCCUGUUCACCUGUCCCUCAGGGCCUUCCUUCUUCCUCACUGCGCUCGUCCUGACGGAGUUCUCUCACGUCAUAUAAAUGCUUCGGACUUUGUA